GCGAGGGUGGCGAAAUUGGCAUACGCGCAGGAUUUAGGUUCCUGUACCGAAAGGUUUGAGGGUUCGAGUCCCUCUCCUCGCA
rnacentral:tRNA from 1 species